AUUGAACGCUGGCGGCAGGCCUAACACAUGCAAGUCGAACGAGUGGCGGGCGGGUGAGUAAUGUCUGGGAAACUGCCUGAGGGAGGGGGAUAACUACUGGAAAAGGUAGAUAAAACCGUAUACACUCAGAUGUGCCCAGAUGGGAUUGGCUGGUUGGUGGGGUAACGGCUCCCAUAGGCGACGAUCCCGAGCUGGUCUGAGAGGAAGACCAGCCAUACUGGAAAGUAGACCCGGUCCAGACUCAUACGGGAGGCAGCAGUGGGGAAUAUUGCACAAUGGGGGCAAGCCUUAUGCAGCCAUGCCGCGUGUAUGAAGAAGGCCGUAGGGUUGUAAAGUACUUUCAGCGGGGAGGCGUUACCCGCAGAAGAAGCACCGGCUAACUCCGUGCCAGCAGCCGCGGUAAUAC
rnacentral:rRNA from 1 species